rnacentral:rRNA from 1 species
GACGAACGCUGGCGGCGUGCCUAAUACAUGCAAGUAGAACGCUGAAGGGAGAGCUUGCUCUUCUGGAUGAGUUGCGAACGGGUGAGUAACGCGUAGGUAACCUGCCUGGUAGCGGGGGAUAACUAUUGGAAACGAUAGCCAAUACCGCAUAACAUUGACUAUUGCAUGAUAGUUAAUUGAAAGGUGCAAAUGCACCACUACCAGAUGGACCUGCGUUGUAUUAGCUAGUUGGUGGGGUAACGGCUCACCAAGGCGACGAUACAUAGCCGACCUGAGAGGGUGAUCGGCCACACUGGGACUGAGACACGGCCCAGACUCCUACGGGAGGCAGCAGUAGGGAAUCUUCGGCAAUGGACGGAAGUCUGACCGAGCAACGCCGCGUGAGUGAAGAAGGUUUUCGGAUCGUAAAGCUCUGUUGUAAGAGAAGAACGAGUGUGAGAGUGGAAAGUUCACACUGUGACGGCAUCUACCAGAAAG